rnacentral:tRNA from 1 species
GCGGACGUGGCGGAAUUGGUAUACGCGCAUGCUUGAGGUGCAUGUGGGGCAACCCGUGGGAGGUCAAGUCUCCCCGUCCGCACCA